rnacentral:rRNA from 1 species
UACGUAGGGUGCAAGCGUUGUCCGGAAUUAUUGGGCGUAAAGAGCUUGUAGGCGGUUUGUCGCGUCUGCUGUGAAAUUUCGGGGCUCAACCCCGAACUUGCAGUGGGGUACGGGCAGACUAGAGUGUGGUAGGGGAGACUGGAAUUCCUGGUGUAGCGGUGAAAUGCGCAGAUAUCAGGAGGAACACCGAGUGGCGAAGGCAGGUCUCUGGGCCACUACUGACGCUGAGGAGCGAAAGCGUGGGGAGCAAACAGG